CAGCCCCCGGCCCGCUGCUGUCUCUGACCAGCUUCAUCUUCAGCCCGCAGCAGCUGCAGCGACGGGAGCUGGUGCCUGGGGCAGACACUCACCCGCAGGCUCUCGGGCUGUUGGAGCAAAGGGGGGGCCCUGCCUUCGAGCCACAGUUAUUUGCAAUGCUGAAGUGAUUCUUUAGUACUCCUGGUAUCACAGCGCUGAGUUUUUACUACCGUGCAGCUCCAGUUAACAGGAGCAAAUGAACAUGCCCUUCGCUUAAACUCAUCAUUGUGCUGCAGAGGAAACAGACUGAGGAACAACGCUAAUAUCGAGCUGGGCAGGCGGACACUCAGACUUACAUACGCCACUUCCACUAUCAGGAGAAGUACUGACUGCUGGGUGUUUCUUGGCUGGUCGAUCCCAGCGUGUGAACCAGAAACAGCCCAGGAUGAAAACCAUGGCCACCGGGGGCUGUAGGUAGGAGCUGAUUGUCUGGAUAUAAAUGAAUAGCUGCCCCCCUUGGCUGGCCUGAACCAGUGGGAUCCACAGAAUAGACACCACCA